GCUUUCGCCCAAUCCCCCCGCGUGCUCCGCUCCCAAUACUCGUCGCAAGCCAGAGCCCACACCCGCACCAACCCUAGCCUCCACACCUCACCUUCUCACAGCCGCCGCUCCAUUCCUCCCUUCCGCCCCCUCCUCCUUCCCGGAUCCCCACCACGGCGCCGACCUGCAGGCAAAGGGCGACAGCGGCGGCGCUCAGUUAGAUUUGUAGGAGAGAGAAGAUGAGAGGGAGAGAGAGGAGGGAGAAAGAGAGGAAGAGGAGAGGAGGCACGGCGUCGGAUGGGAGAGAGCAGGGGAGGGCCAAGAGGCCAACGGUGUGGGGUGGAGCAGCGAUGCCGAAGACCGGGCAGCGGACGCCUCACGGGGUGGAGGAGAGGUCGAUGGGCGGAGCCGUUCGCUCGCCGGACGUGGCGGCGCCAGGUUCCAGAUCGGACGCAGGUUAGGUGAGGGCGUGAGGCCGAUGGUGGUCCUUCUCAACCCGAGCUCACCUCACCCUCGCGGCGGCGACCAGCAGCUCGAGUAGGAAUGGUAAGGGCCCGUCAAGAUCUGGCCAGUGCCGUGCUCCCUGGCGCCCGCACAUAGCGGACUGUCCUCUGAUGGAGCAUAGGAGCAGCGGUCGCGGUUGGACGCCAUGAGCUGCCUGAGGUGAGGAACGGGCGCGCCCAACACCGUCCUCCAAUAAGUCCUUCCCGGUAGAGAAAGCCAACUCUCGGAUUUCAGUAAGGAAGGCGCGGCCACCAUGCCAUGUCCAUGGCACCAUCGACCCUUCACCCGCCUCCUCUUUGAAGUGCAGCACCAUCGUACCCCCUUUGGCCCUUCCCGCCCAGUUUUGCCUCACCAUAGGAGGAAUACGGGAGCUGCCUGCCUGCCUGCUACCCCAAAAGGAUGCGUCACCCAGUGGAAAUGCCUCUGGCUCACUGGUUUUGGUUCAGUUUGAAGGGCUCUCGGGACAAAAGAUAAUUGAGUUGUUGAAUCUGAAUGGGCGCCGCGAGGAGUGGAGGAUCGAGGUCGUGGGUUGCCAGCUUCAAAUUUUGGUUGAGCACUUCCUCAAUAAUCUUGUUGAGGUGUCUGUUUCCCCUCUUUGUGUCAUGAAUGAUUGUGUUGGCUGCAGGCUCUCCGCAAGGAGUUGAAGGCUGAGGUCAUGGUUGCCAGCUUCAAUUUUUUGCUGAGCAAUUCCUCAAGAGUCUUGCCAAGAUCUGAGGAUGAAGGGAAGAAGAAGGAUUUAACUAAAGAGUUGAAGAAGAUGAAGGUGAAUUUUCUUCCCUUUGUUCUUCUAUUCUGAUGUUAAGAUUUGUGAUGGCUAGAUGAGAUUUGUGGUGAAAAUUUCCCAUUCUUUUAUUUACCUACAUAUCUUGAAUGCACGAUUGAUGAUUUUGCUGGAUAGGUUACAAAUCUAAAUAAUAAACAUUUUUAAAUGAUGUGGUUGGUACACAUGCGAAGCUAAGAAAAUAUAUAGUUUACUCACAGUGUUGUUUGAUCCAUUGUUGUGUGACAGGCUCGCUGAUGGUCUGGCAAUGCUGCAUAUACAUCUGAAUGCCAAUGAUAGUAUGGUUUAGAUAGACAAGUUAAUAAUUUCUUUUUCUUCAUCAAGUUUACGCUUCCAUUGAUCUACAUUUAAUUUAAUUCACAAACCCGACACCCUUUGGAGUAGCCCAUGUGUAUCUCUGAAUCUUGGCACUUGGGUAUUAUAUGUAUUUCAUUGGUUCAUCGCACAUUGUAGCCAUGCAUGGGCCAGAGACAAUCGGCGAUAAAAACGAUCUGCUUGCAAGUUCUAUAUUACCAGCGGAGGCUUUGCCAAGAGGAAGGGUAAUUCGUGCAGGGGAAUAAACCCUACAUGGUAAUCCAGGGGAACAUGCUUUAUAAGUUGUGCUUUUUGUAAGCUAAGCUGUGUUUUUCAACCCGUUGUCCUUUAGAUAUCUUCCUUUUACAUUUUUUGUAUGUGAUGGUUAGUUGAUCAGGUUGAGUGCUUCUUUGCAGUGCUUGCUUCGUUGGAACAUGUUCAUUUGGCUAAUAAAACAGUACACAUCUCUCUUGAAUUAUGUGCAUCUCCUUUUUAGUUAUUUGAUUUUUUUAGUGACUCGCUAAUUGGAAAAUCGGGAUGCUAAAACUUGGCAUAAUGAAUUCUUGAAUUACGUACUUCUUAUUGUGCAUGUCAAACUAAGGACUAAAUAUAUUUUUAGUUGAGAUAUUGUUUUGAGUAUUUCUCUGCAACAACUUAAAUUACUUUUUGCAAAUAAAAUGAGCUAGCAUAUGCUAUACUUGCAAUGGUAAAUUAAUUAUGCAGUUCUGAGGAUUGAGGAAAUUAAUGGUCAGUCGUUCAUUGAGGGUUUGAAAGAGCCAUCAAGGCAACGAUCUCAUUUCAUCUCAUGCAUUGAUUUUGUUAUCUUCUUUAUAUGGCAUUUUAUUAAUUAUUUAUAUAUAUUUGCCGUAUUGCUGUUUCUAAAAAUUGCUGUAUCCUUUGUCCCCAUUUCCGUAUCGCUGUAUCUGUGUUGCCGGUGCACCAUAGCAAUUACUUAUUGAAGAAAAAUGUCCCUUUUCUUGUUCCCAUUGCUCGAUAAGCAUGAUCGCAUUUCUACCGAUUGAUUAUAAAUAUGGCCUUUCUUUUGAUUAUUUGAUGGUACUUCUGAUUGGCACCAUGAGGUCCUUCUUUGUCGUGUAGAUUCAUCCUUUACUUAAAUACUGAUGAUGAUAUGGUUGUAAAUUAGUCUGGUAUAUGCCAACAGUUGUCUCUCCCAGAAGAAUUUUUGUGAGAAUAGCGUACCUAAAGAGUUGGUUGUUUGUCUGGAUUGAACACCCAACUAUAAGAAUGGGUUGACAACACCGAUUGACUCUAUUGGCGCUUCUAUGUUGUCCAGCUUCAUCAUUUACUUAUACACUGAUGAUAUUGUUGUCAGCGUGUUGUAAGUACUUUGGGAAACAAGUCUGGUAUAUUACAAUGAUGUAGUCCUGCAGAUCAGUACAGGUCACCGGCUUUAUAUUGUUGUCAGCGUGUUGUAAGUACUUUGGGAAACAAGUUCUGGGGUAAGUUUACCUGCUUGCUCAUGCAUUUUAAUACUUGAUUGAUGUCCUGAUAAUUUGUGAAGUUCUGUGUACCAUGUGAUAAGCUGCACAUCAGGUUGCAUGGCAGCUUGUUUGUUGCUUUUAGGAUGUGCAUGUACCCAGGUGGAUCAAAUACAGAUACCAAUCAUAUAUUAUUAUUUUUACUCGUGUGUUUUUUUUGUGCCUGCCAAACAUUUCGAAAAUUGAUUAUAUCAUUCAGAUGUAUUCAGGCUGGGUUUCUGUGAUCCAAAAAAAUCAUCUGCCAUGGCUUUCUUUUUACAUACAAAACUAAGUGUGGAGCAGUGUAUAUUUUCAUUGCUUUCUUAUCACAUCACAUUUGUCGGAGGUGUUGUACUGAUUUGAAGGAAAUGCUUUUAUAUUUCCAAGUUGAUCAACUACACAACUUCUGAUCCUAAAGCCUUUCUUUAAAAGGGGCUGGUCAAUGCAGCUCCAUGUUGUGCUAUCUUGCUAUUGGGCUCUUUUUUCGUUACUUAAAAUGGUCAGAUAUCUCUGAUGUUAAAUUCGUGGUUGAUUGCUUAUAUCCAAAAUAACUAUUUUAGUACACUGAAGCCAAUUUCUAAAUUGUUAGUGAAGUUGGCUAAAUAGUUUUUGCGCCACUAAGAUAUAUGUGCACUGCAUUCUAACCCUGUAAAUUGUUGUGCUAUUAGUUUAAUCCAGAAUAUAAUUAUGUUAUAUUCUGCUUUUGUCAGUUUGCUGGUCCAUAUUAAUUUCCUCGAGCUUAUUUUCACAUCUCGUCAUAUUUACACCUUUCUGCCAACUGCCACCUAUCAUGGAGGGAGAUGGCUUGGCCAGGCCGUCAACACCCAUCGGCAACUUCCGGCAGGCGCCGUCCCGUUCUUCCUCCCCUUACUCUGAUGCCUUCAUGGCCAAAAUCAUUAGCAGGAGCAAGAAGGUUAAGCGCCAAUUAUGGUUAAAGCUUUGUCUCUUUUGUGUACUAUGCAUGAUUGAUCUGAUUUUGCUGGCCAGCUUACAAAUUCAAGUAAUAUGGCUAUUGCAAUGCAUCUUACUACGUGUGUAUUUAUUUGCAUUGAUAUUUUCUCCUUCUUGGGCUCCAAAUCGUUUGUGGGUCAUAAGUUAUUGUGCAUUAUUGAUGAUUAAUUUGCAAUUUAAAUGACAACAGGGUUGGGUUUUAUAAGUGUAAUGGCUUGAAAUGUGACCUUCCAUUCAAGAUAUUUUGUCAGUGAGAAGCUUAUGUGAAGAAUGAUGUAAUUAAGUUAGCAAUUUACAGUUCUCUUUGAUAAUUGUAACUGAAUUGUCAAUGGUCAGUUCUCUUGAAUAAUGAGUUACUCCCUCAAUUUUACAAUAGAGAUAAUUUGUCAAAAUUGUGUUUUUGUAAUGUUUGUGGUCUUCUUUUCUCUUUUUCUUGAUUUGUAUUGUAUAUGCUAUUUGCAUAUUUGAACAUGCAUAGGGCCUCUCAGUCUUUAACCUUGACUAUAAAAAUCCAUUGAUGGAAGCUGGGGAGGGCUGAGAUGAACAUCCGGCUCGAGCCAUCGAGAUGGUAGAGACGACGUUUCCAUGUCACCUACUCCAGCAGCCGGACAAGGCAUAUAAAAACCAGCAGCCGGACAAGGCAUAUAAAAAUCAUGGAUCCUUGCUCCCUAGGCCACAAAAUGAUCAAUCGUAGAUGUAUGAAUCUCAAUCUCAUGUUUGGUUUUCUUCCCUUUUCUCUUCUAAUGAUGUAAUUUCUUUUACUAAGAUAACAUCAUGCUUGUUGCAAUGCCUUAUUUGAUGUAAGAUCCCUUUUCUAUUUUGAAUGAAUUUACUGCA